AUCACGAAAGUCACGGCAUGACCAAAUACGGAUAUAGGUUGCAGUCCACCAGCAGUGUGUCUGAUUUCCAUGAGAGAGAGAGAGAGAGAGAGAGAGAGAGAGAGAGAGAGAGAGAGGGAUGGAGAGGUCUUAUUCAAACGCUUUAUUUACCUUAAAAUCUACAUCGGAAGAGAAAAUAU